ensembl:snRNA U6 U6 spliceosomal RNA
GUGCUGGCUUUAGCAGCACAUAUACUAAAAUCGGAACAAUACAGAGAAAAUUAGCAUGGCCCCUGCCCAAGGAUGGCACACAAAUUCCUGAAGCGUUCCACAUCUUU